UGGGGAAUUUUGGACAAUGGGGGAAACCCUGAUCCAGCCAUCCCGCGUGUGCGAUGAAGGCCCUCGGGUUGUAAAGCACUUUUGGCAGGAAAGAAACGUCAUGGGUUAAUACCCCGUGAAACUGACGGUACCUGCAGAAUAAGCACCGGCUAACUACGUGCCAGCAGCCGCGGUAAUACGUAGGGUGCAAGCGUUAAUCGGAAUUACUGGGCGUAAAGCGUGCGCAGGCGGUUCGGAAAGAAAGAUGUGAAAUCCCAGAGCUCAACUUUGGAACUGCAUUUUUAACUACCGGGCUAGAGUGUGUCAGAGGGAGGUGGAAUUCCGCGUGUAGCAGUGAAAUGCGUAGGUAUGCGGAGGAACACCGAUGGCGAAGGCAGCCUCCUGGGAUAACACUGACGCUCAUGCACGAAAGCGUGGGGAGCAAACAGG
rnacentral:rRNA from 1 species